UUCUCUUCUCUUCUUCCAGCGGCGUUUAGGGCUUUCUUUCCAUUUCUCUUCUCGCCUUCUGCAGAUCCUAUCACAAUUCUACUCCAAUCAUGUCGACUAUCAAACUCCCAACAUCUUGCCUGAUUAAAACUGCUACACCAAGGAGAUCCAAUGCCCUGGUGCAGAGGCCAUCUUCUUUGUGCUCCAUUAGGAGUGUAUCCAGGGCAUUUGGAUUGAAGUCUUCCUCAUUCAAAGUGUCAGCAAUGGCUUCUUACAAAGUGAAAUUAAUUGGACCAAACGG
rnacentral:misc_RNA from 1 species